CUGAAGUAGGUCCCAAGGGUAUGGCUGUUCGCCAUUUAAAGUGGUACGCGAGCUGGGUUUAGAACGUCGUGAGACAGUUCGGUCCCUAUCUGCCGUGGGCGCUGGAGAACUGAGGGGGGCUGCUCCUAGUACGAGAGGACCGGAGUGGACGCAUCACUGGUGUUCGGGUUGUCAUGCCAAUGGCACUGCCCGGUAGCUAAAUGCGGAAGAGAUAAGUGCUGAAAGCAUCUAAGCACGAAACUUGCCCCGAGAUGAGUUCUCCCUGACUCCUUGAGAGUCCUGAAGGAACGUUGAAGACGACGACGUUGAUAGGCCGGGUGUGUAAGCGCAGCGAUGCGUUGAGCUAACCGGUACUAAUGAACCGUGAGGCUUAACCUUACAACGCCGAAGCUGUU
rnacentral:rRNA from 1 species